rnacentral:rRNA from 1 species
GAUGAACGCUAGCGGCAGGCCUAAUACAUGCAAGUCGAAUGAUACCAGAGAGCUUGCUUUCUGGGAAAGUGGCGCACGGGUGCGUAACGCGUAUGCAACCCACCUUAAUCAGGGGGAUAGCCUCUCGAAAGAGAGAUUAACACCGCAUAACAUCAUUUUACGGCAUCGUAGAAUGAUCAAAUAUUUAUAGGAUUAAGAUGGGCAUGCGUGACAUUAGCUAGUUGGUGAGGUAACGGCUCACCAAGGCUACGAUGUCUAGGGGAUCUGAGAGGAUGACCCCCCACACUGGUACUGAGACACGGACCAGACUCCUACGGGAGGCAGCAGUAAGGAAUAUUGGUCAAUGGAGGCAACUCUGAACCAGCCAUGCCGCGUGCAGGAAGACGGCCCUAUGGGUUGUAAACUGCUUUUAUACGGGAAUAAACCUCUCUACGUGUAGGGAGUUGAAUGUACUGUAAGAAUAAGGAUCGGCCAACUCCGUGCCAGCCGCCGCGGUAA